UUCAUCUUCUCACGAUGAGACUCCCUGCUCAGCUCCUGUGGCUGUUGAUGCUCUGGGUCCCUGGAUCCAGUGGGGACGUUGUGUUGACCCAGACUCCACUCUCCCUGCCCGUCACCCCUGGAGAGCCGGCCUCCAUCUCCUGCAGGUCUAGUCAGAGCCUUCUGCAUAGUAAUGGAAACACCUAUUUGGAUUGGUACCUGCAGAAGCCAGGCCAGUCUCCACGGCUCCUGAUCUAUAAAGUUACCAAUCGGGAAUCUGGGGUCCCAGACAGGUUCAGUGGCAGUGGGUCAGGCACAGAUUUCACACUGAAAAUCAGCAGGGUGGAGCCUGAGGAUGUUGGCGUUUAUUACUGCAUGCAAGGUACAAAAGCUCCCCCACAGUGGUACAGCCCCGAACACAAACCUCUCUGCUGGGUGGCCCAGCUGCCCACAUGUGUUGUUUGUCGGGGGAGCAGGCACCAUAAAGGGCAAAACAGUAACGAAUUCAGUGGGAUGAGUUGCAGGAAGCUGCUCCUGUGAGUCCUGGGGCUACACCUCAGGCCGAACCGCAGGAGAAUGGUGGGGUCCAAGUGCUCACUGAGCAACCAGACAUGAUAAUGGAGAAAACUGAAUGAAAGUUCAUCUAAAUCCUCCUAGCCUUUCCUACAUCUAUUUUUCAACUAAAAGGAUUCAGUGUAACGACUUUGUAAUUAAGGCUACUUCAUGUCAACCUAAGACUGAUAUUUUUUUUGGAUUUUCUUUUGUUUGAAUAGUUACUGGUUAUAGACGCAGCCAGGUUUGUUUAGUAACAUAAAAACUGUUUCUCUUCUUCCUCACCUUCACACUUCCACAUUUUCUUAGCAUAUGUCUCUCUCCAGCAAAGGGGCAGGCAUAGCAUUUUACACCACGAUUUCAGGAAUUACCCAUGUCAAACAAUGUACAUUCCUGUUUUUGGGCUACUAGGUUGACUUUGUUAAAUUCACUUAAAAACAAAAGUCACGUGUCCAAUGUGUUUGACCAGUCUCAGGCACAGCAGAUUGAAAUAAAAGGUGAGGAUUUUGAAUUGCAAAUCAAGGGUUUUAGAAAUAAAUAUUUAAGUUUGGAAGAAUCAGGCAGCAUGCGUGUUUUAUGCCAUACCCAACAGAAUUUUGAAAAAAAUUAGA